CAAUAGCGUAUAUUAAAGCUGUUGCGGUUAAAAAGCUCGUAGUUGGAUUUCUGUCAAGGACAACUGGUCCGCCCUCCGGGUGAGCACAUAGUUUGGUCUUGACAUCUUGCUGGGAGCUGUUGCUGCACUUGGCUGUGUGGCGCAGUGUUCAGCACUUUCACUUUGAGGAAAUUGGAGUGUUUCAAGCAGGCACAUGCCUUUGGACACAGUAGCAUGGAAUAAUUAGAUUGGGCUUUUGCUCCAAUUUGUCGGUUUCUGGAGCUGAGGUGAGUAUUAAUGGGGAUUGUUGGGGGCAUCCGAAUUUAGCCGUCAGAGGUGAAAUUCUUGGAUCUGCUAAAGACGGACAACUGCGAAAGCGUUUGCCCAGGAUGUUUUCAUUGA
rnacentral:rRNA from 1 species